GAUGAACGCUGGCGGCGUGCCUAAUACAUGCAAGUCGAGCGAAUGGAUUAAGAGCUUGCUCUUAUGAAGUUAGCGGCGGACGGGUGAGUAACACGUGGGUAACCUGCCCAUAAGACUGGGAUAACUCCGGGAAACCGGGGCUAAUACCGGAUAACAUUUUGAACCGCAUGGUUCGAAAUUGAAAGGCGGCUUCGGCUGUCACUUAUGGAUGGACCCGCGUCGCAUUAGCUAGUUGGUGAGGUAACGGCUCACCAAGGCAACGAUGCGUAGCCGACCUGAGGGGGUGACCGGCCACACUGGGACUGGGACACGGCCCAGACUCCUACGGGAGGCAGCAGUAGGGAAGCUUCCGCAAUGGACGAAAGUCUGACGGAGCAACGCCGCGUGAGUGAUGAAGGCUUUCGGGUCGUAAAACUCUGUUGUUAGGGAAGAACAAGUGCUAGUUGAAUAAGCUGGCACCUUGACGGUACCUAACCAGAAAGCCACGGCUAACUACGUGCCAGCCGCCGCGGUAA
rnacentral:rRNA from 1 species